rnacentral:rRNA from 1 species
GUCGCCUCCUAAAAGGUAACGGAGGCGCUCAAAGGUUCCCUCAGAAUGGUUGGAAAUCAUUCAUAGAGUGUAAAGGCAUAAGGGAGCUUGACUGCGAGACCUACAAGUCGAGCAGGGUCGAAAGACGGACUUAGUGAUCCGGUGGUUCCGCAUGGAAGGGCCAUCGCUCAACGGAUAAAAGCUACCCCGGGGAUAACAGGCUUAUCUCCCCCAAGAGUUCACAUCGACGGGGAGGUUUGGCACCUCGAUGUCGGCUCAUC